rnacentral:rRNA from 1 species
GAGUUUGAUCAUGGCUCAGGACGAACGCUGGCGGCGUGCCUAAUACAUGCAAGUCGAACGAAACUUUCUUACACCGAAUGCUUGCAUUCACCGUAAGAAGUUGAGUGGCGGACGGGUGAGUAACACGUGGGUAACCUGCCUAAAAGAAGGGGAUAACACUUGGAAACAGGUGCUAAUACCGUAUAUCUUUAAGGAUCGCAUGAUCCUUAGAUGAAAGAUGGUUCUGCUAUCGUCUUUUUAGA